UACGUAGGGGGCAAGCGUUGUCCGGAUUUAUUGGGCGUAAAGAGCGUGUAGGCGGCCACACAGGUCAGCUGUGAAAACUCGAGGCUCAACCUCGAGACGUCGGUUGAAACCGUAUGGCUAGAGUCCGGAAGAGGAGAGUGGAAUUCCCGGUGUAGCGGUGAAAUGCGCAGAUAUCGGGAAGAACACCCGUGGCUAGGGCGGCUCUCUAGUACGGUACUGACGCUGAGACGCGAAAGCGUGGGGAGCGAACAGG
rnacentral:rRNA from 1 species